rnacentral:rRNA from 1 species
AUUGAACGCUGGCGGCAGGCUUAACACAUGCAAGUCGAGCGAGCGGCGGACGGGUGAGUAAUGUCUGGGAAACUGCCUGAUGGAGGGGGAUAACUACUGGAAACGGUAGCUAAUACCGCAUACCAUCAGAUGUGCCCUGAUGGGUUUAUCUAGUAGGUGGGGUAAUGGCUCACCUAGGCGACGAUGCCUAGCUGGUCUGAGAGGAUGACCAGCCACACUGGAACUGAGACACGGUCCAGACUCCUACGGGAGGCAGCAGUGGGGAAUAUUGCACAAUGGGCGCAAGCCUGAUGCAGCCAUGCCGCGGGUGUGAAGAAGGCCUUCGGGUUGUAAAGCACUGUCAGCGAGGAGGCGGAAAUCGAAGAAGAAGCACCGGCUAACUCCGUGCCAGCAGCCGCGGUAAUAA